UUUUAUUAUUAAUCCAAAAUAAGAUUGGAGAUUACAAGCAAUAGCUUAAAAACCCAAGAAUUUGGCGGUGUUUUAUUCAAUUAGGGGGACCUGUACUUUAAAUCGACAAUCCACGAUAAACUCUAUCUAACUUUAAUAUUUAUAGCCUGUGUACUGCCGUUUAAUGAACUCUUUAGGUAAAUAUAUAAUCAAUAUAAAAAUAAUAAUCCAGGUCAUAGUGCAGCAUAUAGUUAGACAGUAUAUGGGUCACAUUUUAAAAAUACUAAAAAUUUAUAAAUUAAUUUUUAUAAUAAAUUUAGGACUUAAUAGUAAUUAUAUAGUUAUUUAUACUAUAAUGAAUACGAACUUAAAACAAGUACACAUCGCCCGUCACUCCUUAAUAUAGGAUAAGUCGUAACAUAGUAGAUGUAAUGGAAAUUGCAUCUGU
rnacentral:rRNA from 1 species